rnacentral:snRNA from 1 species
AUCGAUUCUCGGCCUUUUGGCUAAGAUCAAGUGUAGAAAGUCUGUGUUCUUCUUUUUGUUUGUUUGUUUUUGUUGUUGUUGUUUUUGGAGACAGGGUUUCUCUGUGUAGCCCUGGCUGUCCUAGAACUCACUCUGUAGACCAGGCUGACCUCGAACUCAAA